rnacentral:tRNA from 2 species
GGGGUUGUAGCUCAGCUGGGAGAGCGCUUGAAUGGCAUUCAAGAGGUCGUCGGUUCGAUCCCGAUCAGCUCCACCA